rnacentral:rRNA from 1 species
UACGGGGGGAGCAAGCGUUGUUCGGAUUUACUGGGCGUAAAGCGUGCGCAGGCGGCCUCUUAAGUCAGAUGUGAAAUCCCCGGGCUUAACCUGGGAACUGCGUUUGAAACUGGGAGGCUAGAGUGUGGAAGAGGGGGGUGGAAUUCCAGGUGUAGCAGUGAAAUGCGUAGAGAUCUGGAGGAACACCGAUGGCGAAGGCAGCCCCCUGGGCUGACACUGACGCUCAUGCACGAAAGCGUGGGGAGCAAACAGG